rnacentral:rRNA from 1 species
GACGAACGCUGGCGGCGCGCCUAACACAUGCAAGUCGAACGGAGUUAAUUCACCUGAAGUUUUCGGAUGGACGGAGAGUUAACUUAGUGGCGAACGGGUGAGUAACGCGUGGGUAACCUGCCUUUUAGAGGGGGACAACAGUUGGAAACGACUGCUAAUACCGCAUAAGACCACAGUACCGCAUGGUACAGUGAUCAAAGGAGCAAUCCGCUAAAGAUGGGCCCGCGUCUGAUUAGAUAGUUGGUGGGGUAACGGCCUACCAAGUCGACGAUCAGUAGCCGGACUGAGAGGUUGAUCGGCCACAUUGGGACUGAGACACGGCCCCAGACUCCUACGGGAGGCAGCAGUGGGGAAUAUUGCACAAUGGAGGAAACUCUGAUGCAGCGACGCCGCGUGAGGGAAGAAGGUAUUCGUAUUGUAAACCUCUGUCUUCGGGGUACGAGUAAUGACGGUACCCGAGGAGGAAGCACCGGCUAACUACGUAG